UCAGGCCCCCGCUCUGGCCGCCUGACCAAAGCCUCUGAGGCAGCCGGGCGGAAAACAAGAUGCAAACAGCCACCCCACGCAGCGUGGUGAGCAGGCCGUGGCUGCUCCCGCAGACAGGGAGCCUGGCUGGUCCCAGUCUGCGGGGCGACAGAGGGGGGGAGGAGGUGGGGCCUACUCCUCCUCAUUUGGUCCAGUGAACCAGGAGACCACCAGCUAGACAAGAAGAGACCACCGUUGAUCCAGUGACAGCCACGGGUUGACCUUGAUUGAGGAGGUCAACGAGGGGGGGGGGGUUCAAGCAGCCCCUCCACCUCCUCCUCUGACCACCACCCCCCACGCACACCCCCAGGCAGAAUGAAAUCCCUCUGUCCCACGUGCCCGGGGCCUGGCCCGAAACGGACGGCUUUUUCCACCAAUCAGUUUUGCUCAAUUAAACUUCAGAAGACACCCUGUCACAUCUCUCUGCAAAGGUCACGACCCCCGGGGGCAGAGGUUAAGUCUGGUGCUCGUAAAACAAGGUCUCCAUUAACACAGCAGCAUGUAUUCAGAGGUAAUCCAUCCAUUUCCACAAACUAUUAUGACGGCGUGAAAAAAACGCCGCGUGGCUUAAGGGGUGCUGCUGCUGCUGCUGCUGGUGGAGGUGGUGGUGGUGGUGGGGGGGUGGGGUCAAGGUAAUGAUGUUUUAUGACCGUGUUAACUUUCAGCACCAGAGUAAUGUGAAAGCUGCUUGACCUUGACCUCGUCUCCCACGGGGCUGCCUCAGCAAACCUGUUCUGUCACUGCUCAUGAGCAAAUCUAACGACGACUCUCUACUUAUAUAUGCUUUCGCUGUAAUUCCUACUUUUACGGCCACCUCUACUCCUUUACUGCUCCCAUUCCACUCCAGCUACGUGUCCUUGAAUUCAUUUAUACUGGAGGCACUUCAGAGGAAAAGUGAAGACAAUUUUAAAAAUUCUUCAGAAUUAGUGAUAUUUAAAAAAAUAUAUUUUAUUAAUGCAAACAAGUGAAGAGCACAAAGCUUUCAUUGUGCACAAGGUCCGCAUUCCUGCAUUUGUUGAUCAAAUUGCAAAGCAGUUCAAGAAAACCAAACACAACGUGCGCUAUCCCAACGUGUCCCAACACGAACAUUAUCUGCAUGCCUUGUUACAACUAUUCCAUCAAGCUGUCAAACAGGAUAUGCAAAGUAUGAAUCCAGGUGGGCCGAGGUGAUGAGUCAAAAAAAACUAAAUAAAGAUUUACACUUUUUAUCAGAUGGAAGAUAAAACAGCGCAGUGGAACGCGACAGUGUCGGAGUGUGUGUGUGUGUGUGUGUGUGUGUGUGUGUGUGUGUGUGUGUGUGUGUGUGUGUGUGUGUGUGUGUGUGUGUGUGUGUGUGUGUGUGUGUGUGUGAAAGAAGCCAGGCCUGUGUGAACACAGCCUGCUAGUUGGCACAAUGGAUGCCACAACCCCCACUCCCAGUGGGCAUUCAUGUGGGCAUCAGCGUCCUGCCGCUGAAACCCGCCUGUGUCCGGAACAAGGGGCCGAGCGCCGCUCGCUCGCUCGCUGCCAGCCGGACGCCCUCUCCCCGUCCAACGCUACCACGCUGAACCCCAGCCAUGAACAGCAAAUAGCGGCUGCAGCGUAUCUUGUGUCAUCCAGAACGGAGCUGCUGCCAGGUCGCAGAAGUUGCCGCAGAACAAAGGCAGCGGCUUCCAUUCUGCCACUGUCAAAAACUUUCCAACGUGCCCACUGCAUUGCGGAUGCCAACCAACGAAUCAAAGGCACGCUGCAAGCAGACAAAGAGGGUUCGAUGCCAACCUCCAAACCUCUAACAACCAUCACUGGUGAUUCGCCUGCCUCCCUGGCACACUGCAAAACAAAAUGGCGCCGCGCUCCCACAAUAUGGCUGCAUUGUGUGGAGGCGGGCACCGCUUGCUAACGCGAAGAAAUGGAAAAGGCUUCAGCUCAGGAAGACGAGAAAAGGGGGAAAAACGCUGCGCGUGUGUGAUCCGGGUCAAAGAAUCUUAUUUUAUAUUUGCCAAAAGUUUCAAGCGACGCUGAAAACAGCAGCAGACGAUCGCUGCGCUCCGUAGCGCGGGGAUUAAUGUGGAUGAAUCCGAUUCAACACUCAUUUCAAGCCGAAAACACAAAUAACACAGAACUCAUGAAAUACCGUCUAUAGAGUAAAAUACAAACACUAAGUUAUAAGGUGAAAUGUGCAGCAAGGAGCCGUUUUGGAGCUGGUGCUGAAUAGUUAAAAUGCAGCAGAUGCAAAGUGGAGGAGCGGUGGCAUCCGACAAAGGACACAAAGGAGGGUCUGAUGCCAACCCCGGUGCCAGUGGCAACCAUUAUUGUCUCUGUGCGGUGCCUUCUGCUUUCCCUGGCACUUAUCAAACACAAAAUGGCGCUCAAGGUUUGAUUAUAAUGAGCUAGCUACGCCGCCACUGUUUCUCCCUCAGCAGCAAACGUACCGGACGUUCGCCGCGAAGGAGUCGCAAAAGGAAUUUUCGACCGUUAAUCUUAAGGGAAAUUGUUUCAUUGUCAAUAAAUAAAAUUAAUGAACUAUUUCAAAUUAUUUUCAGGAAAUAAGGAAACAUAUUUUCACGCAUAUUUUGAGACUGUUGUUAGCUUUAAAUUCUACUAAAUGAAAAUCUAUUUAGUAUCCAAAUAAUAUUAAAGCAAAUUAUGAAAAUGUA